rnacentral:rRNA from 1 species
GACGUAGGGGACGAGCGUUGUCCGGAUUCAUUGGGCGUAAAGCGCACGUAGGCGGCGUUGUAAGUGUCGGGUGAAAUCCCACGGCUCACCCGUGGAACUGCCCGGCAUACUGCGAUGCUAGAGUGUGGUAGGGGAGAGCGGAACUCCUGGUGGAGCGGUGAAAUGCGUAGAUAUCAGGAGGAACACCGGUGGCGAAGGCGGCUCUCUGGUCCACAACUGACGCUGAGGUGCGAAAGCUAGGGGAGCAAACGGG